UUGACAAAACACCAGUGUUACUUCUGGAAUCUUCCUUCAUGGAGAAAAUAAGCUAUCAGCAAUGAAGACAGGAAAGAGACAUGGUAUAAAUUGGUGUUUUCAUUUCUGACCUGUAUAUUUGCUUUUUCACACUGGGCUGCCUUUCUGUAUCCAUUAUCUCUGAUGACAACCCUGGGAGCUGAAAAUCACUUGUAUUAUAAACGAUGAAUAAAAGCAACACAGAGAGGCAACUUGGCAUGCAAGGACCACAAGAACCAUGAAGGCUGGCUCUCUUCUGUUUUUCAAAAGACCACACUUCUGGACAGAUUUUAUCCUGGUACUUCACUGAUUUGGAGGAACCAGCCACAAAGAUUUCCACUCCAUGGCAUCUAACAAGAUCAACUGGAACUUUUUUAUUGGAAAUGCCUUGGAAAAAUAUUAACAUAAAACCCC